rnacentral:tRNA from 1 species
GGGCGAUUAGCUCAGUUUUGGUUAGAGCGCUUGUUUGACAGACAAGAGGUCACUGGUUCGAAUCCAGUAUCGCCCACCA